CUGUAUUAUUUGAGGACUUUACACAGUAUGCCUUGGUAUCAUAAUACACUAUGACCUUUAUUUAAGUAGGAGACCAAGGACCUUGCCUGUUGCUCUAAGCCUAGAUAUCAGAGUCAAAAUCUGUUCUCUUAGCUGGAUCCAGGUAUGUGAGUUAUCACCUCACCUGUGAGCUGUGACCAUGUAUAUGUCACAAUUUCACCUGUGGGCAGGAACCAGACAUGAGAGUCCUAUCACCUGGGUGCUGGCCAAUAGAUGAAAAAAGAUUCAAGGAAGACACAUUUGCUUUUUAUUCACUCAUCACUUCCCAUCACUAUGCUGACCAGAGUCAAUGUGAGCAGAGUUGAGAAUAGCAGUUUUCUGGCAGGAGAGCCACUUCUCAGCAAAAAAUGACACACUCAAAGUAUAAAUCUUUCAUGGAAGGCUCACAUAUUUUCAGCAAAUUAAGCAUAUGCAUGAAUAAAAUUCUUG
rnacentral:lncRNA from 10 species